rnacentral:rRNA from 1 species
GAACGUCGUGAGACAGUUCGGUCCAUAUCCGGUGUAGGCGUUAGAGUAUUGAGAGGAUCCUUCCUUAGUACGAGAGGACCGGGAAGGACAGACCGCUGGUGUACCAGUUAUCAUGCCAAUGGUAAACGCUGGGUAGCCAAGUCUGGAAAGGAUAACCGCUGAAGGCAUCUAAGUGGGAAGCCCCCCUCAAGAUGAGUACUCUCAUCCUUUUGGAGUAAGACCACGGCAAGACGAGCCGUUUGAUAGGCAUUAGGUCGAAGUACAGUAAUGUAUGUAGCCGAGAUGUACUAAUAGGUCGAGGACUUG